rnacentral:lncRNA from 1 species
AUGGGGAUUUGGGGGGAAAGAUUUGGGAUUUGGGGGAAAAAAUUGGGAUUUGGGGGAAAAAAUUGGGAUUUGGGGGAAAAAUUGGGAUUUGGGGGGAAAAAAAUUGGGAUUUGGGGGGAAAGAAUUGGGAUUUGGGGGGAAAGAAUUGAGAUUUGGGGUUUGGGAAGCGUCAGAGCGUUUACUUCGAUCCAAAAUCACGGAAAAUUCAGGAAUUUUGCGUCAUCAGCCACUUCCGGGGAGGGAAAAAGGGGGAUCAGCCCCACCCCACCCAAAAAACUCACCUGGAAACCCCAAAAAUCCACCUGGAACCGCCCAAAAAUUCACCUGGAGACCCCAAAAACUGCCCUGGGAGACCCCAAAAUUCUGAGGGACCCCAAAUUCCCAAUCCCAGGGGGGUCAGGGGGUCCCAAAUUCCCAUUUUUUCUCCCCCUCAGUUUUUCCCUUUCCGGGGCCGUUGGAAAUUUGGGAUUUUCCGGGGGUUCGGGAGCUCCCCCCGCUGGGAUUUGGGGUUUUUGGGGUGUCCCGGGUGGGAUUUGGGGGUUCCAGGAUGUCCCGGGCGGGGUUUUUGGGAUCCAGGGUGGGAUUUGGGUGUUCCAGGAUGGGAUUUUGGGGCUCCCCGUUGGGAUUUGGGAAUUCCAGGCUGUCUUGGGUGGGAUUUCGGGGUCCCAGGUUGGGAUUUCGGGGUUCCAGGAUGGGAUUUUUGGGAUCCAGGACGGAAUUUGGGGGUUCCCCGUUGGGAUUUGGGAAUUCCAGAAUGUCCUGGCCGGGAUUUUGGGGUCCCAGGUUGGGAUUUUGGGGUCCCAGGUUGGGAUUUUGGGGUUCCAGGAUGGGAUUUUGGGGUCCCAGGUUGGGAUUUUGGGGUCCCAGGAUGGGAUUUUGGGGUCCCAGGAUGGGAUUUUGGGGUUCCAGGAUGGGAUUUUUGGUUCCUCUUCCGUCGUUUCCGGGCCUGGGGAGCGCCCGAGGGGCUUCGCUUCCUCUUGGAGCGGCCGGGAAACAAAUCUGGGGGAAAAAGAGGGAAAAACGGGAAUUGGGAGGGGAAAAAAUUGGGAUUGGGGGGGAAAAAUUGGGAUAUGGGGAGGAAAAAUAGAGAUUUGGGGGGAAAGAAUUGGGAUUUGGGGUUUGGGAAGCGUCAGAGCGUUUACUUCGAUCCAAAAUCACGGAAAUUCAGGAAUUUUGCGUCAUCAGCCACUUCCGGGGAGGGAAAAACUCAACCCACCCAAAAAACUCACCUGGAAACUCCAAAAACCACCUGGAACCUCCCCAAAACUCACCUGGAAACCCCAAAAACCACCUGGAACUGCCCAAAAUUCACCUGGAAACCCCAAAAACCACCUGGAACUGCCCAAAAUUCACCUGGAACUGCCCAAAAUUCACCUGGAUGCCCCAAAAACCACCUGGAUCCUCCCCAAAUUCCCCUUGACGGCCCCAAAACUCACCUGGAAACCCCAGAAUUUCCAUUUCUUCCCCCAAAAUUUACCUGGAAGCCACAAAAUCUCCUCUCCCCGCCUCUAA